GUGAGUUUAACUCAGUUGGUAGGGAUAUUGCAUAUUAUAUGCAAAGGCCAGGGUUCGAACCCCGAACACCCU
rnacentral:tRNA from 1 species